rnacentral:rRNA from 1 species
UACGUAGGUGGCCAGCGUUGUUCGGAAUUACUGGGCGUAAAGCGCGUGUAGGCGGCUCUUCAAGUCAGAUGUGAAAGCCCCGGGCUUAACCUGGGAACUGCGUUUGAAACUGGGGAGCUAGAGUGUAGAAGAGGGGGGUGGAAUUCCAGGUGUAGCAGUGAAAUGCGUAGAGAUCUGGAGGAAUACCGGUGGCGAAGGCGGCAUCCUGGACCGAGAUUGACACUGAUGAGCGAAAGCUAGGGGAGCAAACGGG